GACGAACGCUGGCGGCGUGCUUAACACAUGCAAGUCGAGCGGUAAGGCCCUUUCGGGGUACGACGAGCGGCGAACGGGUAGAGUAACACGUGGGUGACCUGCCCUCAGCUCUGGGAGUAAGCCUGGGAAACCGGGUACUAAUACUGGAUAUGACUCCAUGACGCAUGUUGUGGGGUGGAAAGCCUUGUGCGGCUGAGGAUGGGCCCGCGGCCUAUCAGCUUGUUGGUGGGGUGANGGCCUACCAAGGCGACGACGGGUAGCCGGCCUGAGAGGGCGACCGGCCACACUGGGACUGAGACACGGCCCAGACUCCUACGGGAGGCAGCAGUGGGGAAUCUUGCGCAAUGGGCGAAAAGCCUGACGCAGCGACGCCGCGUGA
rnacentral:rRNA from 1 species